rnacentral:sRNA from 1 species
CGGGUGGCAGCAGAGUGUCGCUCGACAUGGGGGAGGCCGGGGCUGGCGCUGGCGCCCCGGGAGGGCCGGAGGCAAGCCCGGAGGCGGAGGUGGUGAAGCUGCUGCCCUUCCUGGCGCCGGGCGCGCGGGCGGACCUGCAGGCGGCGGCGGUGCGGCACGUGCUGGCGCUGACUGGCUGCGGGCCCGGCCGCGCGCUGUUGGCGGGGCAGGCGGCGCUGCUGCAGGCGCUGAUGGAGCUGGCGCCGGCCUCUGCCCCGGCCCGCGACGCCGCCCGCGCGCUCGUGAACUUGGCCGCCGACCCCGGCCUGCACGAGACAUUGCUGGCGGCCGACCCCGGGCUGCCAGCGCGCCUGCUGGGCCGCGCGUUGGACCCGCAGUGGCCCUGGGCCGAGGAGGCGGCCGCCGCGCUAGCCAACCUCAGUCGCGAGCCGGCGCCGUGUGCAGCGCUGAUGGCGGCGCUGGCGGCCGCGGAGCCGGCAGACUCGGGCCUGGAGCGGCUGGUGCGCGCGCUGUGCACGCCCGGCUACAACGCCCGCGCGCCCCUGCACUACCUAGCGCCGCUGCUCUCCAACCUCAGCCAACGCCCUGCGGCGCGGGCCUUCCUACUGGACCCCGACAGGACAUCACGAGUGGUUGCUUGGACCUGAGGUGGACAUUCUCCCCUUUUUGCUCCUGCCCUUGGCUGGGCCUGAAGAUUUCUCC